UACCAGCACCCCGAGUGGUCGGGACGAUUAUUGGGCCUAAAGCAUCCGUAGCCGGUCAUGCAAGUCCUCCGUUGAAUCCAGCCGCUCAACGGUUGGGCUGCGGAGGAUACUACGUGGCUAGGAGGCGGGAGAGGCAAGCGGUACUCAGUGGGUAGGGGUAAAAUCCUUUGAUCCAUUGAAGACCACCAGUGGCGAAGGCGGCUUGCCAGAACGCGCUCGACGGUGAGGGAUGAAAGCUGGGGGAGCAAACCGG
rnacentral:rRNA from 1 species